AACUUUCGGCAACGGAUCUCUUGGCUCACGCAUCGAUGAAGAACGCAGCGAAAUGCGAUAAGUAAUGUGAAUUGCAGAAUUCAGUGAAUCAUCGAAUCUUUGAACGCACCUUGCACCCUUUGGCAUUCCGAAGGGUAUGCUCGUUUGAGUGUCAUUGUACUCUCACACUCCCGAUGCUUUUGGAUUGGGAGUGGUGGACUUGGGUGUUGCUGCUUUACUGUGGCUCACCUCAAAUGGAGUAGUGCAACUCUUGGUUGGACAUAGUACGGCGUGAUAAGUGUCUUCGCCGGCGCCUCAUUAGAGGGUGGCCGAUCGGGAGCUCUGUGCUUCAAACCGUCUUCGGACAACAUCUGACAACUUGACCUCAAAUCGAGUAGGACUACCCGCUGAACUUAAGCAUAUCAAUAAGCGGAGGCU
rnacentral:misc_RNA from 1 species